GGGGCCAUAGCUCAGUUGGCUAGAGCGUUCGCCUUGCACGCGAAAGGCCGUCGGUUCGAAUCCGACUGGCUCCA
rnacentral:tRNA from 1 species